rnacentral:rRNA from 1 species
AGCAGCCGCGGUAAUUCCAGCUCCAAUAGCGUAUAUUAAAGUUGUUGCAGUUAAAAAGCUCGUAGUUGAAUUUCGGGAUCAUCAGGUUGGUCGUGCCUCUGGUAUGUACUGAUUUCGAUGGUCCCUCCUUCUUGAAGAGCCGUAAUGCCAUUAAUUUGGUGUUGCGGGGAAUCAGGACUGUUACUUUGAAAAAAUUAGAGUGUUUAAAGCAGGCAA